UUUCGCAUUCGGCUUAUUAUCAACAAUGGCAUUACCCACCGCAUGCAACAAGUGCGUCUUACCUAAACCGGUGCCACCGUA
rnacentral:antisense_RNA from 1 species